rnacentral:rRNA from 1 species
CGCGGCCUAUCAGCUUGUUGGCGGGGUAACGGCCCACCAAGGCAACGACGGGUAGCUGGUUUGAGAGAACGAUCAGCCACACUGGAACUGAGACACGGUCCAGACUUCUACGGAAGGCAGCAGUAGGGAAUCUUGCGCAAUGGGCGAAAGCCUGACGCAGCGACGCCGCGUGCGGGAUGACGGCCCUAGUGGUUGUAAACCGCCUUCAGCAGGGACGAAAAUGACGGUACCUGCAGAAGAAGUCCCGGCUAACUACGUGCCAGCAGCCGCGGUAAUACGUAGGGGACAAGCGUUGUCCGGAUUCAUUGGGCGUAAAGAGCUCGUAGGCGGUUCAGUAAGUUGGGUGUGAAAGCUCCGGGCUCAACCCGGGGAGGCCACUCAAUACUGCUGUGACUAGAGUCCAGUAGAGGAGCGUGGAACUCCUGGUGUAGCGGUGAAAUGCGCAGAUAUCAGGAAGAACACCGGCAGCGAAGGCGGCGCUCUGGGCUGGUACUGACGCUGAGGAGCGAAAGCAUGGGUAGCAAACAGGAUUAGAUACCCUGGUAGUCCAUGCCGUAAACGUUGGGCACUAGGUGUGGGGAGGAAUCAACCCUCUCCGUGCCGUAGCUAACGCAUUAAGUGCCCCGCCUGGGGAGUACGG